rnacentral:tRNA from 7 species
GGUGAUGUGGCCGAGGGGUUAGGCUCAGCUCUGCAAAAGCUGCUACAGCGGUUCAAAUCCGCUCGUCACCUCCA